UUUCCUCUGGAGAUCUGACUCUAGAUCUUGGACUCACUUUGCUGAACAGGAGACCAGUGAGUCAAGUUUGUUUACAAAUGAAAUGCCAAGAUGUUUGCCUGACCUCCUAAUGAAAGUCCAAGUGAUCAGCCAUGUCCUACAAGACAAAGGCAGGAUACAGUGAUCAGAAAGCACUCCACUACAGCUUCAGGAAUUAAACUUCAUCUGUAUCUCGCUGCAAAUAGAGGACCUGAGCAGGGUACAGACUAUUUUCUGGUAGAGGAAAGACAGUGUUUACAGACCUCUCCCCUGGCACUCUGGCAUAAGAUGACAGAAGAGAAUCUUGACUGCAUCCAUCCCAGCCCUAUGCAGUUUGGAAAAUGCACCACUUCCAUCAUGGGACAAGUUUGAAAAAAUUCUUCAUAAACUGAGAUCAAGACAGAAAUGUGUCCAUAAUUUUUGGAAUAAAAUUAAGUGCUAAGCAAUGUUUCCCAAAUUAUCUCCCUGUAACUGUUCACCAACUGUUUCUGAAGCCAUUUCUUCAGGAAAUAAUGAAAGUCUCAGAAACUUAUCCUAGAUGUCUUCUUCAGUUAACAAGAUAUGUCAAUAAUAAAACAGUGAGGGUAAAAGAGAAUGGAAAUCAAAAUAAAUUAGAAGUUAUGAAGUGUAUAGAAGUGGGAAAGGAUAGUAAGUACUUUGGGAAAAACCAAUUGUUGCCAGAACAAAACACAAAACCCCAAGUGUUUUAAGCACAUUGAAAAAUAUUUUAUUCAUUAUCAGAUGGAAAUGCUAAUGAUAAUAAUAACAGCAACAACUAACAUGCAGACCGAAGUGUUCAAUAAAUAUUUCUAUUUUACAUUUGGGAAGAUGCAGGAUAAUGUACAAAUUGAAAAAUGUGGGAGACUAUGGGGAGAGAUGUGAUAGAAUUGGGUUAUGGGCUGUGGGACACGCCUGCAGAGGCACAUGGCAGCACAAAGGAGCACAUGGCAGCACAGAGAGGCUUGUCUCCACUGGACCCUGGGGGGAGGAGGUGUCACACUGCAGACCCCUAUGGAGAGGGACCUGCCCGGAGCUGACAGACGGGUGAAGUGAUCACCCCACAGAAGGGCAUUUAGGAGGCGUGUUACUGACGUGGCAACAUGGGAUAGGUCAUGUAGUGAGAAUUGCCAUGUAAGGAAAUACUGUGCCUUGAAAAAGUGUA